UUGAAGAGGAAGAGGGGAAGGAAACAGGAGUUGUGGGCACAAGGGUCCCACAGGAUGGAGAGAGGGAGGAAGCAGGAAACAAGGAAAGACAAAGGCCUAUAACCUGGCUUUGAGAAACUGUGCGCCGGAAAAGUGAUGUGCAGAGAAUCAUGUUCUCUUCAGAAAAAAGAUACAGGAGGUGGGGAAGUGUGAGCAGCUGGGGGAGCCAGGAGAAUGCUGGAGAAAUAUUCAAUGGACAU